GACGUAGGGUCCAAGCGUUGUCCGGAUUUAUUGGGCGUAAAGAGCUCGUAGGUGGUUCGGUAAGUCGGAUGUGAAAUCUCCAGGCUCAACCUGGAGGGGUCAUUCGAUACUGCCGUGACUAGAGUUCGGUAGGGGAGUGUGGAAUUCCUGGUGGAGCGGUGAAAUGCGCAGAUAUCAGGAGGAACACCCGUAGCGAAGGCGGCACUCUGGGCCGAUACUGACACUGAGGAGCGAAAGCGUGGGGAGCGAACAGG
rnacentral:rRNA from 1 species